UUUGUGAACUAGUGACGACCAACGCGAAGCGAGAUGAUUUAUACCAUUGAGAUCGUAUUUAAUUAAUAGAGGGUGCUAUGUCAUAUAAAACCUAAAAGUUCCAGAAUAGCGUGAAAAUGGCAACCAUAGUACGGAACAAUAUUCACGUAAUAAGGAAUUCAGCAUAAGGAAAGCCAAACAUCAGAUUUUUUGGUGUACGGAAAUAACAAAACAUGCCGAAAAAUUGCUGUGAUGUACAAUGAACAUGUACAAUGAAUGAACAUGUACAAUGAACGAGUCCCGACCUACGGUUCGCAAUGCUCCCAAGUAGGGAAAUGGAGCCUGCGAGAAGAGCCCCGUUGCUUCAGUCUAUUCGGCGUGGGAGAUGUGGGGAACCGGUGUCCAAGUACGCUACACGUAGCUAUUUUUGUGGAAAACAUUUAAUCACAACUAAGACAUUUACGUUGUUUGGUAUAGUUCGUUUGUAACACCAUUCACUACUUGUAGCCCAAUCGUCUAUUUUGUGUUGUUGAUCUUGGUUAGUUUACGUUCCGGUUGGGAUGGUAGCUAGUUAGCAUUCACUCACGUGGUUGCUAGCGCCAUGAAAAAGGGCAUGAGGGCAGCCCUAUUGUUUUUCUAGGUAGUAAGGACACUAGGGAGCAGGCAAUGUUGACAAGUAAUCUUUAUACAUUGUUUACUUCGGUUAAAAUGUAAUUUACUAAAACAAGCAGACAAAAAUAAGGUAUUUGCUGUGAACCAAUGGGGUAACGGUCCCGUGUGGCUCAGUUGGUAGAGCAUGGCGCUUGCAACGCCAGGGUUGUGGGUUCAAUUCCCACGGGGGGACCAGGAUGAAUAUGUAUGAACUUUCCAAUUUGUAAGUCGCUCUGGAUAAGAGUGUCUGCUAAAUGACUUAAAUGUAAAUGUAACCUAGAAAACCACAGAUUGCGGCCUUGGCCGCGACGUUCUAUUUAUGGAACGCCAUUUGGGUGGGUGACUCACCUUGCGUGUCAAAAGCUACAGGUCAAAUAACAUUAUGGCCAAUAUUUGCAAUCACAAUUAAGUCGCGCGUGAAGCCAGCUAUGGGUGCGUUCGUAAAUUCGCUCUGGCUAUCUACUCCGAUUUCAGAGCACUUUAGCCUGAGCGUGCCAGAGCGCAGAAUAACUGAUUAAUUUUCAAACGCUCAACACCCGUUGAAUAUGGCCGGUGUCAGCAAAAAAAAAAUCGUACAUUGUUGCCAGCAAUACAGUUCGUCACCAACGCUCUGGAUAACAUAAACAGCCUAACUAGCAGUUAGGACGAGUAAAAUGGUCAGCGUGAGGUGUUCUCUCAUUUGUGUCUGGAAGAAGCUGGCCUACGUUAACCAAUUAAAUUGGGUACUUGACUGCGGUUGUGAGGUCAGAAAGCUCGGUUUAACCCUACUAUGGAAGGCCAAGAGUUUCAAAUCGUCUUGAUUUGGACGCUUGUUAGGGGCAUUUUUACACCCGUUCAGUGUGCAUUUACAGGUGAUUAUAGUGCCCGAAAGUACCACAUUGUAGCCCCUCUCACUUCCAUUUUUGUGAGUUUGACUUCCGGCCUGUUGCGAUAAAUCGCUUACUCAGGGAGAUUAUUCUAAAUAGGGCUCAAAUUGUUAUUACAUUUACAGAAUGUAAACGCUACAGCAAGGCGUUGGUGAGGAAGAAAUUAAAACGACUUUUUCCUCAUAACUACAAAGCUGACGCUGGCUAGCUAGUUUAUUUUCAUUGAAAUAGCAUGGCGAGUUAGCUAGCUAGCAAUAGUAUUAUGUCAAACCUGUAACUAAUGGUUGUUACGUUGUGGAACAGAGCAAUAGUUCUUUGUACUUGUCAUUUGGUUGAGACAAACAUUAGUUUAGAACAUAAUUGUUUACUUUGUGUAUAUUUGUUGUUGGCUUUGCUAGUUAGCAAGCUGAGAUGUAUUUGCUCAAAUUGGCUAAUUUAGCUAUUAGCUAAUGUUUUAGGAGAACAGGUUAGCUCCCUGCAUAAUCUAGACAAGAGAAUGGGGAAUAAGAUCUGGCUGUUGCAGUGCCCAGACUAGGCGAGAGCCAACUGCCACAGAGAUAAAGGAAUCUACAAAUUCUAUGUUGAACGAGUAACACAGAUGGAGGGGGAGGAAAACAGACCGCUCCUUACUACAACACCUUCAAGUCAUACAAUGUUUGUUACAUCUGAAAUAAAUACAGAAUUAUUUUAGUUUAUUCUGUUUGUUUUUUAUGCUGGAUGUAAUUUAGGUUAUAGUAUAAUGUAUUGUUUUGAAACAUUUUAUUAAAUAUAUAUAUUCAGUCAACUCAAUAAUUUUAUGUUCGUGAAAAUAAGGUAUGUUUUCUACUGUUACUUUUUACAUGCUGAAACAGUCUCAUUAGUUUUGAGCUAGAUUAUGAUUGGGGAAAUGUCUACUACCCUUUUUUAAAUGUUGAUGAAUGAAAUUAUCACCGUUACUAAUAGUUUGUUGCUACUGUCUGGUGAGGAAGUGGGCAAUAUGGAAUACAUUGGAGGAGGAUGGGAGAAUUAAUGAGAAAUCAGAACUUGGACAAUGUCAGGGAAUAAGUAGGUAAAUGUACAGCCUAUCAAUGACAAACGGUGCAGAGGUAGCCUUAAGAUAACAGACAUGUGCAUGUUAUGUACUGAACAGACUUUUUCAAAACAUUGGAUUACCGACUUGAGCAGUGACGUCUCAGUUUGCACCGCAUUUUCACAUGGACGAAUAUAUACACUGAACAAAAAUAUAAAUGCAACAUGUAAAGUGUUGGGUUCAUGAGCUGAAAUAAAAGAUCCCAAACAUUU